rnacentral:rRNA from 1 species
AUUGAACGCUGGCGGCAGGCCUAACACAUGCAAGUCGAACGAGUGGCGGACGGGUGAGUAUUGUCCGGGAAACUGCCCGCUGGAGGGGGAUAUCUACUGGAAACGGUAGUUAUUACCGCAUACCAUCGGAUGUGCCCAGAUGGGAUUAGCUAGUAGGUGGGGUAACGGCUCACCUAGGCGACGAUCCCUAGCUGGUCUGAGAGGAUGACCAGCCACACUGGAACUGAGACACGGUCCAGACUCCUACGGGAGGCAGCAGUGGGGAAUAUUGCACAAUGGGCGCAAGCCUGAGGCAGCCAUGCCGCGUGUGUGAAGAAGGCCUUCGGGUUGUAAAGUACUUUCAGCGAGGAGGCGUUACUCGCAGAAGAAGCACCGGCUAACUCCGUGCCAGCAGCCGCGGUAAUUC